AGAGUUGUGUGGUUGAGUUUUUGGAGAGGGAGAGAGGAGAGCUUAGCCCUUGUAUUAGAUUUUACUUCUACCUAAGCUUUUGAGGUGCAUUGGAUGAACCGAAUGAGAAGGCUAUCCAAUUUGAAAGAAUUUAGCGAUAGUAGAGAGAAGUGAGAAGAUUCUACCAUUUGGUGGCCUCGAUUUUUCGUAUUAGAAGGUAUGCAUGGAGGCUUACCUUCUAAGUCAAGCAAGUGCAAUAUGGGAAAUAGUUGAUUUAUUGUGAGUCUGUUGCUUCGUUGUGAGUUUUCAUUUUUAGAUGGGAUUUUCAUUUAGUUUUUGGGCUGAAA